AACGAACGCUGGCGGCGCGCCUAACACAUGCAAGUCGAACGAGAAGGCGUAGCAAUACGCUUGUAGAGUGGCGAACGGGUGAGUAAUACGUGGGUGACCUACCCUCGAGUGGGGAAUAACCCGCCGAAAGGCGGGCUAAUGCCGCGUACGCUUCCGUCCUCACGGGGACGGAAGGAAAGCUGUACCGUGGGUACGGCGCUCAAGGAUGGGCUCACGUCCUAUCAGCUUGUUGGUAGGUAACGGCCUACCAAGGCUACGACGGGUAGCUGGUCUGAGAGGACGAUCAGCCACACUGGCACUGCGACACGGGCCAGACUCCUACGGGAGGCAGCAGUGAGGAAUAUUGCGCAAUGGGCGAAAGCCUGACGCAGCGACGCCGCGUGGGUGAUGAAGGCCU
rnacentral:rRNA from 1 species